rnacentral:rRNA from 1 species
CGAAGACAUUUGGUUUUACGCUCGCAAGAGAACGGAAACAGGGGUGCGUANUGGCUGUCGUCAGCUCGUGUCGUGAGAUGUCUGGGUUAAUGUCCCUGCGAAGAUUGCAACCUUGUGAUUGAGUUUGCUACGAAAGGGCACUCUAAUGAGACGUGCUGGUGACAAAUUGGAGGAAGGUGGGGAUGACUGUCAAGGUCCUCAUGGCACCUAUAUGGGGUAGGGCUCUCACACGUACAUACAANUGAGUCGGGACAGAGGGUCCGCCAACCGNGUAGGGAAGCCAAUCCCAGGAUUCCCCGCAUCUGUAAGUCCGGGAGCGCAGUCUGCAACUGCGACUGCGUGAAGGUCGGACAUCGCAAGUAAUACGCGGAUCAGCAUCGUCGGGGUCGAAUAACGU